rfam:Macaca arctoides fragile X mental retardation 1 protein (Fmr1) gene, partial cds.
GGCGGGGCCGAGGGGCUGAGCCCGCUGGGGGAGGGAACAGCGUUGAUCACGUGACGUGGUUUCAGUGUUUACACGCGCGAGCGGGCCGGAGGGUUCGGCCUCAGUCAGGCGCUCAGCUCUGUUUCGGGU